AAAAAAGGUAAGCUACUAAGAGCGAAUGGUGGAUGCCUUGACUGGUAAAGGCGAUGAAGGACGUACUAGACUGCGAUAAGCUACGGGGAGCUGUCAAGAAGCUUUGAUCCGUAGAUUUCCGAAUGGGGCAACCCAAUGUAUAGAGAUAUACAUUACCUAUAUAGGAGCGAACGAGGGGAAUUGAAACAUCUUAGUACCCUCAGGAAAAGAAAUCAAUAGAGAUUGCGUCAGUAGCGGCGAGCGAAAGCGCAAGAGGGCAAACCCAGUGCUUGCACUGGGGGUUGUAGGACUGCAAUGUGCAAGAGGUGAGUUUAGCAGAACAUUCUGGAAAGUAUAGCCAUAGAGGGUGAUAGUCCCGUAUGCGAAAAACAAACCUUAGCUAGCAGUAUCCUGAGUAGGGCGGGACACGAGAAAUCCUGUCUGAAGCUGGGUCGACCACGAUCCAACCCUAAAUACUAAUACCAGAUCGAUAGUGCACAAGUACCGUGAGGGAAAGGUGAAAAGAACUGAGGUGAUCAGAGUGAAAUAGAACCUGAAACCAUUUGCUUACAAUCAUUCAGAGCACUAUGUAGCAAUACAGUGUGAUGGACUGCCUUUUGCAUAAUGAGCCUGCGAGUUGUGGUGUCUGGCAAGGUUAAGCAAACGCGAAGCCGUAGCGAAAGCGAGUCUGAAUAGGGCGCUUAGUCAGAUGCUGCAGACCCGAAACGAAGUGAUCUAUCCAUGAGCAAGUUGAAGCUAGUGUAAGAACUAGUGGAGGACUGAACCCAUAGGCGUUGAAAAGCC
rnacentral:rRNA from 1 species